AGCUCCAAUAGCGUAUAUUAAUGUUGUUGCAGUUAAAAAGCUCGUAGUUGGAUUUCUGGCAGGAGCGACCGGUCCGCCGCAAGGUGUGCACUAGGUCGUCUCCAGUCAUCUUUGUGGGAACUGCUCUGGCAUUAGGUUGUCGGGGUUAGGGAACACAUCGUUUACUGUGAAAAAAUUAGAGUGUUUAAAGCAGGCUUAUGCCGUUGAAUACAUUAGCAUGGAAUAAUAAGAUAGGACUUUGGUGGUCUAUUUUGUUGGUUUGCACACCAAGGUAAUGAUUAAUAGGGAUAGUUGGGGGUAUUCGUAUUUAAUUGUCAGAGGUGAAAUUCUUGGAUUUAUGAAAGACGAACUACUGCGAAAGCAUUUACCAAAGAUGUUUUCA
rnacentral:rRNA from 1 species